rnacentral:lncRNA from 1 species
GAGUUCCAUGCCUGUCCAGCGCUGAGAGCUGCCGGCCAACUUCGCGGUCUCCACGUCGCGCUUAACGUGGCAGCAGCACGCACUUCCAGCAUCUUUUUUUAGACAGCAUCUUUUUCAGCCUCGCUCUGUCGCCGAGGCUGGAGGGCAGUGGCGCGAUCUAGGCUCACUGCAGCCUUGACCUCCCGGGUUCAAGCGAUCCUCCUGCCUCAGCCUCCGGAGUAGCUGGGACCACAGGCGCGCGCCGCCACGCCCGGCUGGUUUGUUACUUUUAUUUUUGUCUCCCUAUUUUGCCCAGGCUAGUCUGGAACUCCUGGGCUCAAGCGAUCCGCCCACCUCGGUCUUCGAAAGUGCUGGGAUUCCAGGCGUGAGCCGCCGCGCCGGCCUUAACAGCGCAUUUUCACCAGCCCCGCCCCGGCCGCGCGCGGCACUGGAAACCCCAGCGCCUUCUGGACGGCGAGGGUGACGCACUGGCCCUCUUCCUCGGUGUCCUCAGACAGGGUCUCUCACUCUGUCGCUGGUUGGAGUGCAGU